UACGUAGGGGGCAAGCGUUGUCCGGAAUUACUGGGCGUAAAGGGCUCGUAGGCGGCCAACUAAGUCGGAUGUGAAAUCCCCAGGCUUAACCUGGGAACUGCAUCCGAUACUGGAUGGCUUGAAUCCGGGAGAGGGAUGCAGAAUUCCAGGUGUAGCGGUGGAAUGCGUAGAUAUCUGGAGGAAUACCGGUGGCGAAGGCGGCAUCCUGGACCGGCAUUGACGCUGAUGAGCGAAAGCUAGGGGAGCAAACGGG
rnacentral:rRNA from 1 species